rnacentral:rRNA from 1 species
UACGAAGGGGGCUAGCGUUGCUCGGAAUUACUGGGCGUAAAGGGCGCGUAGGCGGAUAUCUAAGUCGGGGGUGAAAGCCCGGGGCUCAACCUCGGAAUUGCCUUCGAUACUGGAUAUCUUGAGUUCGGGAGAGGUGAGUGGAAUGCCGAGUGUAGAGGUGAAAUUCGUAGAUAUUCGGCGGAACACCAGUGGCGAAGGCGACUCACUGGCCCGAUACUGACGCUGAGGCGCGAAAGCGUGGGGAGCAAACAGG